AUUGAACGCUGGCGGCAGGCCUAACACAUGCAAGUCGAACGAGUGGCGGACGGGUGAGUAAUGUCUGGGACACUGCCCGAUGGAGGGGGGUAACUACUGGAAACGGUAGCUAAUACCGCAUACCAUCGGAUGUGCCCAGAUGGGAUUAGCUAGUCGGUGGGGUAAAGGCUCACCUAGGCGACGAUCCCUAGCUGGUCUGAGAGGAUGACCAGCCAAACUGGAACGGAGACACGGAACAGACACCUAGGGGAGGCAGAAGUUGGGAAUAUUGCACAAUGGCCGCAAGCCUGAUGCAGCGAUGCCGCGUGUAUGAAGAAGGCCUUCGGGUAGGAAAGUACUUUCAGCGGGGAGGCGUUACCCGCAGAAGAAGCACCGGAUAACUCCGUGCCAGCAGCCGCGGUAAUAC
rnacentral:rRNA from 1 species